AAGUCGUAACAAGGUCUCCGUAGGUGAACCUGCGGAGGGAUCAUUAACACUAUUUGGCUGAGUGAAGAACAAAGUCGAAAGACAAUGAGACACACUCAGUUCAAAUUCUAACCACACUGUUGAACUAGGUUACCUUUGCGUAACCAAUCCUCCCUUUGAACGGAAAUGUUGAUGAAUGGUUUGUAGUGGGAUGACGCAAGUUAUCGACUAUUCAUUGACUAUCAAAGCUUCAUUGACUUUGGAAUUUCUGUUUCUUAGGCAAUUCUAACUAAUGUUUCCUCCACUAUAGAAAUGAACUCAUUUCACUCCUUCGUACUCCAAUUGACUGAUCUCAUUGCUACGAGACUCGAAAGGGACUCGAUAUAGCAGCCUUAAGAUAAUUCUUAAACUAAGCACAACUCUUAGCAACGGAUAUCUUGGCUCUC
rnacentral:misc_RNA from 1 species